UACGUAGGGGGCGAGCGUUGUCCGGAUUUAUUGGGCGUAAAGAGCUCGUAGGCGGUUUGUUGCGUCGGCUGUGAAAUCCCGAGGCUCAACCUCGGGUCUGCAGUCGAUACGAGCAAACUAGAGUGUUGCAGGGGAGACUGGAAUUCCUGGUGUAGCGGUGAAAUGCGCAGAUAUCAGGAGGAACACCGGUGGCGAAGGCGGGUCUCUGGGCAACAACUGACGCUGGAGGAGCGAAAGCGUGGGGAGCGAACAGG
rnacentral:rRNA from 1 species